rnacentral:sRNA from 1 species
UGUUUAUGCUACAAUAUAAUACAUUAUAUAUAUAUAUAUACAUAUAUACAAAACGUAACCCGGGGCUCUAUCUACUCUAUACAAAUCACAUCUGAAAGAAUGAGCGAGGAACGAAGAACGAGGAAAGUGACUAGAAAGCGAGCACGAGAUGAUACCUACAUACACAUAUAGAGAAUAUAUAGAGAAACGAAGAGAGAGAGAGAGACAAAUGAAAAGCAGGCAAGCUUUUAAGUUUGAUUAAGCGCAAAAAUAAGUUAAAACAAGUAAAAGCAAACAAAAUACAUAAUCUGUAUGAACAAAAACAAAAAUCGAAAACAGAAAACAGAAACCAGAAACAAUAACAAAACAGCAAUAACAGGCAUUAUAUGUAUAUGUAGCAUUAUACAGACAUAUGAGUAAUUCCUGAUCCCGAUCAUUAUCGUUAUACAAGUCCCCCCGCCACCCCGUCAAUAUGGCAGCACUGCUAAACGAAUAACGGUAUCCGUAUUCCCCCGGUAUCCCAGGCUUUAAAUUGAAAGUGUUCAGCGCAAAUCGCACAUGGGUGGCAACGCCGCCACCACCCCCUAUCGCAGCCAGACCUGCCAGACAUCGCCAGUCAGCAAUCGGAAAGAACUGUAAUCGAAAUGAAGAACGAAACGAACGUUUUAUGCUCAAGGGCGCAGUCACGUAAAUGAGAGAAUUAAAAGUAAUGUAUGCUGUACGAGAGUGACGUGGCGAGAAUGAAAUUUAAACAAUUUAUAUAAAUGUGUAAUUCAUUAUGUAACUGUAACUUAACAAGGAUAUGAUAUGAUAUGAUCUAUGUAUGGGCAUUAACGAUACACUCACACACACACACACACAGACACACACACAAAACACAUACGCAUGCAUAUACAAGAAUACGAGUAUAUAUAUAUUAUAUAUAGAAGCAAAAACGGUUCCAAUUUUAAUGACAACAAGAUCCCCACACACAUACACUGAUACAAAUUCAAACAUACUCUUGCUCGUACAACAGUAAUUAUAACGAUUAUAAUCGCACACAUCCCAGGGCGACGACGACGGUGGGAGAGCCGCAGAGAUCUCUUGCUCGUACUCCCCACAUCCUCCACACCCCACACCCCCCCACAUGCGCUUUCAGCGAAUACUAAGAAGGGUUCGUUGGAGGGAGAUGGGAGAUCCCUGUGGCCCGCCCCCGCAGCACCCAAUCCCAAUGCGAAUAUGUAGUAGAAAUAUAGACAAAAACCAAAACAAAAAUCAAGCAGAAUAACUGCGACUGCGCUGCGCACUUUGCUACGCUGCUUCUGUGCUGCGCUGCUGCUGUAAAGCGCAAAAGAGAAAACGCAAUAGAAAAAAGCAAUGGAAUAUAGCGGUAAAUUAGCGGUAUAUUAAAUAGUCCACACACACACACAAACACACACACAAUCAGACUCAGUCACUCACUCCCACGCACCCGAAUGUCACCCGCUCACUCACUCAAUCACUCACUCACAUACGACCCGCCCCCAAAACGGGGAAUUUGCAAAGCCAGGCAAAUAGUUUAGUUAUUAAAAUAACACGGAAAACGAGAAGAAACAGAAGCAUAAAGAGAACAAAAGAAAAGAAAACGAAAGCGAAACAGUUAGUGGAUAACAGGAGAAAAUAGGAAGAUAUAGAAAGAAAACCGAAACCGAAGCAAACGCUUGCUAUUAUACAAUACAUGUAAAAGAAACCCGUUAGGGCUGAUUAACAUACAGCUAAACGGUCGAAGGACACGUCAGUCAGGCGAGGAAUAGGCCCGGCCAGCAGGCAGGCAGGCAGGCAGAUAGGAGAGAAAUGAAGAGUACAGUACAUGAAAUAUUUAUACGAAAUAUAUGUAAACCAUUUUUACAUUCAAUUCAUUCAAAUUAAUUUUUAGCAAUACUGAAAUUUCGAUAAAAAAAAAAA